GACGAACGCUGGCGGCGUGCUUAACACAUGCAAGUGGAGCGACUAAGCGGGCUUCGGCCCGUGGCAAAGCCGCGAACGGGUGAGUAACACGUGGGUAACCUGCCCUGAUGACCGGGACAACCCGAGGAAACUCGGGCUAAUACCGGAUGUGGUCCAUACACAUGAGUGUUUGGACCAAAGGUAGCUUCGGCCUCCGCAUCAGGAUGGGCCCGCGGCGCAUUAGCUUGUUGGUGAGGUAAUGGCUUACCAAGGCGACGAUGCGUAGCUGGUCUGAGAGGGUGAUCGGCCACAUUGGGACUGAGACACGGCCCAGACUCCUACGGGAGGCAGCAGUGGGGAAUAUUGCACAAUGGGGGAAACCCUGAUGCAGCAACGCCGCGUGAGUGAUGACGGUCUUCGGAUUGUAAAGCUCUGUCUUCAGGGACGAUAACGACGGUACCUUACCAGAAAGCCACGGCUAACUACGUGCCAGCCGCCGUCGUAA
rnacentral:rRNA from 1 species